AGCGAGCCGAGCAGGCGGUGCUGCCGCCCGCCGCCGCUCGCCCCGCCGCGGCCGCCCCUGCUCCUGCUUGCAGCGCCCCUCUGAUCCAUGGCUGUCUGUCUGUACUUGUUACGGUGUAACAUCCUCCUCCUCCUUCUCCUCCUCCUCCUCCUCCUCGGGAGCCGCUGCAACUUCCCCUCAGCCAGCCUCCUCCUUUGCCUGGGGACUGCAAAGGCAUGGGAUAGACCCAGAGCCUCUUCCCUCUGUCUCCCCUCCAGCCCUCGCUCAAUUUUCCCCACUUUAAAUUAAAGUCUGUUCCUCGCUCCUCGUCGUUUUAGAGAUUUA
rnacentral:sRNA from 1 species